GGUUCGCUAGCUCAGUUGGUUAGAGCGCCGCCCUGUCACGGCGGAGGUCAGGGGUUCAAGUCCCCUGCGAAUCGCCA
rnacentral:tRNA from 1 species